rnacentral:rRNA from 1 species
UACGGAGGGGGCAAGCGUUGCUCGGAAUCACUGGGCGUAAAGCGCGUGUAGGCGGCCCACUAAGUCUGAUGUGAAAGCCCGGGGCUCACCCCCGGAAGUGCAUUGGAAACUGGUGGACUCGAGUCCCGGAGAGGAGAGUGGAAUUCCUGGUGUAGCGGUGAAAUGCGUAGAUGAUCUGGAGGAACACCGGUGGCGAAGGCGG